rnacentral:tRNA from 1 species
GAGGGUAUAGCUCAGUGGUAAAGUGCGUGCUUAGCAUGCACGAGGUCCUGGGUUCAAUCCCCAGUACUUCCA